CUUCAGCUUCUGGCGUCUGCUCUGUUGCGGAAAGGUUAGAUGUGCGUAAAAAGGUCAGCCUACAGUUUUGUAUAGGAGUGUGAGCCAGUCUCUUGCUGUCUCCGUUGAUCGAGGCACAUGGAGUCUCCUUGCGGUGGACCAGCUGUUGAAGCAGUAGUUCAACAUUGUCCCUGCGGGUGGAAUUGGUUUGAGUAGUUGUAUAAGUAUAAUAAUAGUAAGUGAUUACAAAUUAUUGGCCCUGAGCUAAGUUGGGGUAAAGUAUACUCGCUUUAGCCUUGUUUUUAAAUUCUUUUAUUUUUUUAUUUUUUGUUAUUAAAUUAAUUAAAUGAAAAUUUAGACUCCUCUGGAAAAAAGUAAAAAAAAAAAAAAGAUAAGAAUUAAGAAGAUAUAGUUAAUUUGUACAUUGUAGGCAUGCCCCAUUUAGUUAUGGGCUUCCUUUGAUUGUGCAUGGUUGUAGUUUGGUCUGAGCCCUAAGGUGGCUGGCCGUGAUUGAGAUUGCCUUGCUUGUCCGUACAGUAUUACAAUACACACGGCGACAUGGUGAAUCUCCUGUGGACUAGGUCCGGAUUUUGUUGAAGCGCUGUUUUUUUUUUUGUAGUUUGAGAUCUCUGAUCAGAACCAUUAACGAUUUGGUUGCUAAUAGUUACAGAAUGCCUGCCUGAUUAAUCAGCAGCCUUCUGUUGUAAGCGCUAGCCGUGUUGUUUUUUCUUUUCGGUGGGGGACUGUUCGUGAAGUUGAAGUCGCAUGAUAUGCCUGAGCUCCAGCAAGGACUCUGCAUUAUGUGAACUGAUGAGUUUUGGCCUGCUGUUCGUUCGGCAGCAAUAAGCUCGUGUAGGACUCUAAUAGUCCUGGUUAUUUUUAUUUUAUUUUUUUUUUGUUUUGAGAAAUUUUUCUGUCAUUAGUCCCUCCCGAUGACAUGCGAGAGAUAGAGUGCAUAUUUUUGCUCGUGCCUGCGUAUGUCUGCCCAACGAAACCCGUUGGCAACUUCCAGCUGCACUGGAGCCGGGAAGGGGAGAGGGAAGGAGAGCCUCCCCUGGUGUCAAUUUCAUUUUGACUGUUGCUCGCGCCUGCGUACGCCUGCCUGACAGAACCUGUUAGCCGCUACCAGCUGCGCUUGAGCUGUAGAGGGGGGUGGAGCUAAGAGCCUCCCUGGUCAUGGCCAUGACGUGUGUAUUUGUGAUGUAAUGUUUAAAGGACGUCCUUGAGAAGUAGCCAAAAUAAUUACCAGCUUGGCACUCUGAGCGUAAAGGAGUAUUCUUUUGAGAAUGCCUUCCAGCUCCUCAGAUUCCAUCAUUUGCAACUAAAGAAUGUUGAAAAGUUGAAACUGGGUGGCCUCUCCAUCUCGAUUAUUCUAAUAGCUGUUUUCUCGUUUACAGGUGGAGACGCAGAGCAGCCCUGUGGCUGCGAGCCGCUGUUGCGAGAACUACACAAGAUCGGGAAGAGGCACCAGCAGUAAGGGAGAUGGAACCGGAGCGCUCCAGUGUAGAGGUCAGGCCUUCCGCGGAGGAUAGACAGGGCAUGCCCAGCCUGCAACUUGUUGCUGAACUAAACCGCCCCCGAUUGCAGUCACAUUGGGUGGCGUAAGUUGACUAGUGCAGUGCGCGCAAUAAGUAAGUGGCAGGACACUUUUAAAUGGAGCUCCAGACAUUAAUAGAUUCUUCUUUUUCUAUUAUUAUAUAAUUAGUAUUCUUUCUGUGUAACUAUUUCAUAAGUAUUUUAUUAAUGUACUGUUAAAAAGGACUAUCGGUUUUACAAGUAGGCGCCAUGGGACAAUGCACACUCGUGUAUGAUGUUUGGUAGUAGCCGAUGCCUGUAGUGCUGCUAUAAAUUAAUUGAUUUUCUAUUUUUAUUCACACCAUUGGGCACUGGUGUGUCCUUAUUGUUAGUUUGUUAUUGUUAGUUAUUGUUAGUCCUGAUUGGUUAGUUGAUUGGGUUGGCUGUGCUUGUUAAAGUUUGAUCCGAAAUUUUGCUUUACAGCUAUUUAUUGGAGAAAUUUAAAUUCUAAAUGAAGAAGAUGUACUCCUCAGUGAGUGUGUAUGGCCCAAGAGUCAAGGCAACACGGGAAAGUAAGCAGCUGCAGUCCUACUAACUUCCUAAUUACCCUUAUCCUUCCCUACCAUCUAAUAAUGCUGGACCGUACCCUUGGCCUUGGACUAUGAUAUUUUCUUAUCUGAUAAAAAUUAUAAUCAAAUUUAUUUCAAUUCAAAUAACAAAGGUAACUCUAUUUUGGACAUUGUCAAGCCAAUGUGCCUUGUUUGGAGGUAGGCCGGCACCUUCAACCUCGGUAGCCAGACCCAUGACCCAAUAAAUUGUCAUUUAACGGAUUUUGCUAUUUAUUAUUAUUUAUUUAUUAGAUUUAUUUAUUUCAUUAUUUGUUUAGGUAAGUGUUAUUUAUUUAGAUAGGUAUCUUUGGCUGGCUUCUUGUUUUAACCAUGGAAAGGUUAAGUUGAAGGAAUGUAAAAGUUAAUUAGAGUUGAAGUAAAAGUGAAAAAAGUGAGUUUUAGGAGUUAUCAGUUUCCAUGUUUAAUUAGGAGUUCAUGAUUGCUACUGAAUUUAUUUGCAUGAACUCAUAAGUAUUAUUCUUUCUUUUAUAUAAUAUGUUCAUUAGAUUCCAACAUGUUGGAAAUCCUUGAAAGUUAGCAGAGGGAUUAUGUUAUAGUAGUUUUUUUUCCAUUGUUGUUGAAAAUUAGUGCCAUGUUCUGCUCUACAGUGCUUGCUUCGUUUCGGCAUUUGGUACAUUAUAUUCAGUAUUAACGAAACUAAAUUAAGUUGAAAAUUGUAAACGCCCCUUAUAUUCGGCUGAGAAAUAUUUGCUGCAAACCGUAUUCGCUUUACAUUCAAAUUUAUCAACCAACUUGUAAUACAUCCCGUGGUAUUACCGGGGGAGAAUUUAUAGAUUAGGCUGUGACUGCCUAAAUUCACUGUUACCUUUAUAUUUCUAAGGACUACUAACCAGCAUGGCAGGAGCGCUUGCUCUGAAUCAUUACCGAAGAUAAGUGGGUCUGUGUAUUCUCUCAUCCGAGGGAAGCAAGCAUUGUCCGAGAUGAACAUAACUAUUAUUGUUUGUUUAAGCUAUUGAUUUAUAACUGUAUUAAUGCAGUAGCAAUAAUCGUUUAAAUGUUACUUGAUGAGGAUAGCUUUGAAUCUGUUUGUUUGAUUUUUAUUCUUGAAAUUUAAAAUUAAUGUAUUGUUACUAAAAUGUUUUGUUAGUGUUAGGUCCAGUUAUGAAGGAUUUUAUUUAUUGUAGUUUUUUUGUGGUUUAUUGUUUCUCGUUCUUUUGCUUCAACUUGCUGUUUAAAUUGAAUAACUUUAUAUAGUGUAAGGAUUGUAGGUUGAAUGUUAGUGUUUUUGGAAUCCAGAGUUAUGGAUGUAAUUAAUUAAGUUUAUAGCAUUAACGGGGAAAGGCGAUGACGUUAAAGAGUUCAAUUAUAUUAUUUUCUUUCUAUGGGUCUUUCGUUUGGAAAAUUUAAAUUCAUUAAGUUACAUUUUACGAGGCGUUUAAAUUGGCCUUGGUGUGGCGUUGGGCUUCGCUGACCGGAUUUCUGUGGCUGAGAACCAUAGUAUGGAGAUUUGAGAGUCCUCAGGUGCAAGGCUCGCUCACUGCUUCCUGCUGUACCUCUUGCUGGGGUCAGCAAGGUCUGAGGAGGAGGGGGAUGUGACGGUCCCAAAAAUUCCCAGACCCAUUACAUAUCAGUUGGGGAGGUUUUGGUUACACCCUCAGGAAACCCUGUCUUUACCGUCACAGAAGCUUUGCUUUAUUUCAAAUAUAAAAAGAGGGUAUGUAAUAUUGGACUGUUAACCUCCCAGCUUUUUGCGUCAACCAGUUGCCUCACCAUGGAAUAUUCCGUCAGCGUGGCUCAGCGCUGGGUCAGGCCAACGUUCUCGGAAAGUGUAACGCGCAUGGCUGGAAUUUGCUGAUACAGCUCAGCAAGUCGCUCGAUGAAAUCAGUUAAUGCGCAGCUAUAGUUUGCCUAAUGCCCUGAUGAAUCGUUAGGCAGCAGCACUGUCUGGGGCUUGCACUGACGUCACGCGGUAUAGCCGCAACGCGAUUGGCUGGUUCCCCUCCACGCCCAACUCUGGGCUACGGGCAGAGCGCACUCAGUUCAGGGAGUCUAAAUUCUAAAUCCAAUUCAAUCGGUCAUGUAAAUUCCGCGUCGCGUCGCCUUUCCCCAUAGCCUCCUCGGAAGGCUAUGUCCCCCAAUAACUUAUUUGUGUUGUAAACUAAAUUUAUAGGAUUAUACAGCAAGUCGGAAGCUAAACACUUCACUAUUGUUUUUAUCAUAAAUUAAGUAAAUAAAUUAUUAUUCGUAGUGCA